rnacentral:tRNA from 1 species
UUGAUUAUUCAAUCUACCUUGAAUAUGAAGCGAUACAUUGCAAUUAGUUUCGACCUAAUCUUAGGUAUAAUUUACCCUUAUUCU